UUUAAAGCUCUCUCUCUCUCUUUGAAAAACUUCGCUAGAAUUACUAUCACAGUCUCCAAUCCCAAAUCUCUGUCACUCCAUUCCUCUCUCUGGCUUUUCGGUUAUAGUUUCACCUUCUGGUGGUGGAUCUGGGAGGCAGCAGUUGCAGUGGUCUUCUGAUCUUCAUGACUGUUUUGUGGAUGCUAUUAUGCAACUUGUUUGACCAGAGAGAGCAACACCUAAAGGAGUUUUAAAAGUGAUGGGUGUACCUGGACUGACCAUUUUCAUAUGAAUAGCCAUUUACAGGAUUGCAAUUUCUCUUCAUUUUUGUUGUAAAAGUAUCAUCUUGCAAAGUUGUCGCCAGAAUCUCCUGCUAAAGUUGGAGGGAAUUGUUUCUUAAACUGUACAUUCUAAGGAGAAGAAAGUCUCCGGAGAGAGCCUGUCUGGAGACCGCAAGUUAAUGAAGCAUUGAGGAUACAAAUGGAGGUUCAAAAACGUCUUCACGAGCAGCUCGAGGUGCAAAAACAGUUGCAAAUAAGAAUAGAAGCUCAGGGGAAAUACUUGGAGAAGAUCAUAGAGGAGCAGCAGAAACUUGGAGGUGCACUAAAAGCCCCUAAAGCUGUACCGUCAGCAGAUGACAAGGGAAAUUCAUUACUGUCAGAGCGUCUUCCUGAUGGCCCGGCAGAGUCCUCUUCCUGAAAGAUAGGGAUGAUAAUUGCACCCACUUCCUGGUUUCAAAAAUUUGUUUCUUGAAAGCAUGAUUUCGGUGAUUAGAUUUAAGUUAAUAUGGUUCUGAUGCGAGAUCCAGUGUGUCGUCAAAAAUAGGACUCCCAAAUUCUGUGUGGGCUUGUUAUGUUUGUCAUUGUAGGUAAAAAUGCUUUACUUUGUGUAAAUUGUGAACUAACCCAUUGCAUUCACGAUAAAAUACACAUUUGUUUU